rnacentral:rRNA from 1 species
AACGAACGCUGGCGGCAGGCUUAACACAUGCAAGUCGAGCGCCCCGCAACGGGAGCGGCAGACGGGUGAGUAACGCGUGGGAAUCUACCCAUCUCUACGGAAUAACGCAUGGAAACGUGUGCUAAUACCGUCUACGUCCUUCCGGAGAAAGCCUUAUCGGAGAUGGAGGAGCCCGCGUGGGAUUAGCUAGUUGGUGGGGGAAAGGCCUAACAAGGCGACGAUCCAUCGCUGGGCCGAGGGGAUGAUCAGCCACACUGGGACUUAGACACGGCCCAGACGCCUGCGGGAGGCAGCGGUGGGGAGUAUUGGACAAUGGGCGCAAGCCUGAUCCAGCCAUGCCGCGUGAGUGAUGAAGGCCCUAGGGUUGUAAAGCUCGUUCACCGGGGAAGAUAAUGACGGUAACCGGAGAAGAAGCCCCGGCUAACUUCGUGCCGGCAGCCGCAGUAACAC